rfam:Rattus norvegicus chromosome 17, whole genome shotgun sequence.
CCAAAGGCUCUUUUCAGAGCCAUCACUUGUUCAUGUAAGAGUUGGU